AGAGUUUGAUCCUGGCUCAGAACGAACGCUGGCGGCGUGGAUAAGACAUGCAAGUCGAGCGCUGAUUCCAGGGUAGCAAUAUUCUGUGGUUGGAGCGGCGCAAGGGUGCGUAACACGUGGGUAAUCUGCCAUGAAGUUUGGGAUAACUUGCUGAAAGGCGAGCCAAUACCGGAUGUGACAAUUGAGAGGCAUCUUCCGAUUGUCAAAGCUGGGGACCGUAAGGCCUGGCGCUUCAUGAUGAGCCCGCGGCCUAUCAGCUAGUUGGUGAGGUAACGGCUCACCAAGGCUAAGACGGGUAGCUGGUCUGAGAGGACGACCAGCCACACUGGAACCGAGACACGGUCCAGACACCUACGGGUGGCAGCAGUCGAGAAUUUUUCACAAUGGGCGCAAGCCUGAUGGAAGGACGCCGCGUGGGGGAUGAAUGGCUUCGGCCCGUAAACCCAAUGUCAUUUGCGAACAAAUUGGUUCAAUUAACACCUGAACCAUUGAUAGUAGCCAAAAGAGAAGGGACCA
rnacentral:rRNA from 1 species